GUGAGAAGUUCGCUUCUGACUAUGGCAAUAAACGGGAUAUGGAAUAGGCGUAGUGGACCCGGGGGCGGUACCCGGCGUCUCCACCA
rnacentral:tmRNA from 9 species